AAAUUGAAGAGUUUGAUCAUGGCUCAGAUUGAACGCUGGCGGCAGGCCUAACACAUGCAAGUCGAACGGUAACAGGAAGAAGCUUGCUUCUUUGCUGACGAGUGGCGGACGGGUGAGUAAUGUCUGGGAAACUGCCUGAUGGAGGGGGAUAACUACUGGAAACGGUAGCUAAUACCGCAUAACGUCGCAAGACCAAAGAGGGGGACCUUCGGGCCUCUUGCCAUCGGAUGUGCCCAGAUGGGAUUAGCUAGUAGGUGGGGUAACGGCUCACCUAGGCGACGAUCCCUAGCUGGUCUGAGAGGAUGACCAGCCACACUGGAACUGAGACACGGUCCAGACUCCUACGGGAGGCAGCAGUGGGGAAUAUUGCACAAUGGGCGCAAGCCUGAUGCAGCCAUGCCGCGUGUAUGAAGAAGGCCUUAGGGUUGUAAAGUACUUUCAGCGGGGAGGAAGGGAGUAAAGUUAAUACCUUUGCUC
rnacentral:rRNA from 1 species